rnacentral:rRNA from 1 species
UGGGGAAUAUUGCACAAUGGGCGCAAGCCUGAUGCAGCCAUGCCGCGUGUAUGAAGAAGGCCUUCGGGUUGUAAAGUACUUUCAGUCGGGAGGAAGGUGUCAAGGUUAAUAACCUUGGCAAUUGACGUUACCGACAGAAGAAGCACCGGCUAACUCCGUGCCAGCAGCCGCGGUAAUACGGAGGGUGCAAGCGUUAAUCGGAAUUACUGGGCGUAAAGCGCACGCAGGCGGUUGAUUGAGUCAGAUGUGAAAUCCCCGGGCUUAACCCGGGAAUUGCAUCUGAUACUGGUCAGCUAGAGUCUUGUAGAGGGGGGCAGAAUUCCAUGUGUAGCGGUGAAAUGCGUAGAGAUGUGGAGGAAUACCGGUGGCGAAGGCGGCCCCCUGGACAAAGACUGACGCUCAGGUGCGAAAGCGUGGGGAGCAAACAGG